rnacentral:tRNA from 2 species
CUGGGGUGUCGUCUAAGGGUAGGACAGCGGACUCUGGAUCCGCCGGUCGUGGUUCGAAUCCACGCACCCCAGCC